CCUUCUCAAACUUUUGGUUUGGUAGUGAGUGAUACUCGGUCGCAAGACUAAGGGUUAACUUGAAAAUGCUGGCCAUGGGCGGAGCUUGCGCGGACUGCGGUCUAAGCUGGCUUUUACACUGCGUAUUGGGUUUCGACCGGAUCGUGGAGUUAAAGCUAGUGUUUGAGGAACGCAUUUACAAACAAGACCUCUCAGGCGAAUAGUAUUC